GAUGAACGCUGGCGGCGUGCUUAACACAUUCAAGUCGAACGGGCGACGGGGAGCUUGCUCCCCUGAGCUAGUGGCGGACGGGUGAGUAACGCGUGAGUAACCUGCCUUUCUCUGGGGAAUAACAUCGCGAAAGUGGUGCUAAUACCGCAUAACGUAUUCCGAUCGCAUGUUUGGAAUACCAAAGGAUUUAUUUGGAGAAAGAUGGGCUCGCGUCUGAUUAGGUAGUUGGUGGGGUAACGGCCUACCAAGCCGACGAUCAGUAGCCGGACUGAGAGGUUGAACGGCCACAUUGGAACUGAGAUACGGUCCAG
rnacentral:rRNA from 1 species